UAGAAGCAGCCACCAUUUAAAGAGUGCGUAAUAGCUCACUAGUCGAGUGACCCUGCGCCGAAAAUGUACCGGGGCUAAACAUAUUACCGAAGCUGUGGAGUACACCUUUAGGUGUAUUGGUAGGAGAGCGUUCUAAGGGCGUUGAAGGCAGAUCGUGAGGACUGCUGGAGCGCUUAGAAGUGAGAAUGCCGGUAUGAGUAGCGAAAGACAGGUGAGAAUCCUGUCCACCGAAUGACUAAGGUUUCCUGGGGAAGGCUCGUCCGCCCAGGGUUAGUCGGGACCUAAGCCGAGGCCGACAGGCGUAGGCGAUGGAUAACAGGUUGAUAUUCCUGUACCCGUUGUUUUUGUUUGAGCAAUGGAGGGACGCAGGAGGCUAAGGAAUGCAGACGAUCGGAAAUGUCUGUCCAAGCAGUAAGUCUGAAGAGGAGU
rnacentral:rRNA from 1 species